AACACAUGCAAGUCGAGGGCAUCACGGGAGUAGCAAUACAACUGGUGGCGACCGGCGCACGGGUGAGUAACGCGUAUGCAACCUACCUAUCAGAGGGGAAUAACCCGGCGAAAGUCGGACUAAUACCGCAUAAAACAGGGGCACCGCAUGGUGAUAUUUGUUAAAGAAAUUCGCUGAUAGAUGGGCAUGCGUUCCAUUAGGUAGUUGGUGAGGUAACGGCUCACCAAGCCGACGAUGGAUAGGGGAACUGAGAGGUUGGUCCCCCACACUGGUACUGAGACACGGACCAGACUCCUACGGGAGGCAGCAGUGAGGAAUAUUGGUCAAUGGACGAGAGUCUGAACCAGCCAAGUCGCGUGCAGGAAGAAUGUCCUUAAUGGAUUGUAAACUGCUUUUGCAGGGGAAUAAAGUGCAUCACGUGUGAUGUUUUGUAUGUACUCUGCGAAUAAGGAUCGGCUAACUCCGUGCCAGCCGCUGC
rnacentral:rRNA from 1 species